GAGGCAAGUCUGAGGUCAUCAGCCAAGGGUGUCUGCAUCGGACAACACUCAACUCGGGAUUGGCACCCAGCCAGUGCCCUACACUAUACAAGAUGCCACUGUAGGGACAGGGAUGACCUCUAGCAAGCGGGCUAAAUCAACACCACAGGCCCCGUGAUCAAUAUAUGUGAUGAGGACAUUACAUCCUGGUGUUGUUGCCCCAAGUCUUGACGUGAAUCUGACCACAAGGACAAUUCGGACAACCUGAAAUGGUGACGCAUUCUACAAAAUAAACAUCAAUGUCAUGAAAGACAAAGACUCAAGAUUUUCUGCUUAAUGGAGACUAAAGAGAUGCGACAACAGAAUGCCAGGCAUGAUCUUGGAUAUUCUUUUGGCUCAAACAGUCUUAGGACAAUUGAAAAAACGUGAAUGAGGUCUGUAGCUAAUAGAAUUGUGUCAAUGCCACAUCCUUGGUUUUGUUAAUUGCAUUGUGGUUACAGAAGAGAAUCCCUUUGUUUUCAGGAAAUGCACACAGCAGUAUUUAAUAGUAAAGGCACAUCUUGUCUGCAACUUC
ensembl:lncRNA LINC02189 long intergenic non-protein coding RNA 2189